CUGACUGAGAACUGAAAUUUAGAGCAGACCAUAUCCAAGCAGCCUCCACUUUCACUACCUAAACAAAAGCUUUGCAGUUGCAACCUAUGAUUCAUUAGUUUCUAAAUAUACAAGGAAAAGAAGCACUCCAUAUAAGCAGACUCUCCUGCAGUGAAGUUGGAGCCUUGUGACCCCUUGCGGCCGACAGACUGUGAGCAGCAGUGAUGGGUGCUGUUCUGAGCUGGGGCAGUUCCCAGGUGGUCUUAAGACUAAAAGGAGCGACAUCUGGACAUAUUGAAGCAGAUGUGGGACCACCCAAGGAUCUUGGACUUGAGCUAAUUGCAGUAACUGGAUGGAACUUUGGGUCUUCUCCCUCGGGAGGGGUGUGUGUGUGUUCUGUGUGUGGGAAGAGAGAAUGAAUGAGUAUUGAGUGACCAAAGGAUAGACUGGCAGAGGCUGUUAAGGUUUGUGAGUAUCUCUAUGCUUCUCUGUAUUCCCCAGCCUUUCUGAAAGUUAGGUUGGAAAUAUGGAAGUAAUUCUGGCCAAGGUAGUAUGAAGGAAGCAAGUCUGAUUUCCGAUCUCAGGCAGUUAAGACACACUCUAUCCCUCCCUCUCUACCUUCUCCUGCCACAGGGAGUGACUUUGGAGGCCAUAUGUUCUGUAUGAUGUGGCCUGAGUCCUCUCUUGAAUGAGAACUACCCUUGGGAAUGGCUCCACCAGAAUCAAACUCUGACAUGAAUGAGAAUUAAACUUUUAUCAUUAAACCAUGGGGAUUUGA